rnacentral:rRNA from 1 species
AACGUAGGUGGCAAGCGUUAUCCGGAAUUACUGGGCGUAAAGGGCUCGUAGGCGGCCAACUAAGUCGGAUGUGAAAUCCCCAGGCUUAACCUGGGAACUGCAUCCGAUACUGGAUGGCUUGAAUCCGGGAGAGGGAUGCAGAAUUCCAGGUGUAGCGGUGAAAUGCGCAGAUAUCAGGAAGAACACCCGUGGCUAAGGCGGCUCUCUAGUACGGUACUGACGCUGAGACGCGAAAGCGUGGGGAGCGAACAGG